rnacentral:tRNA from 1 species
CAGGGAGUAGUUUAAAUUAGAAUGUCAGCUUUGGGAGUUGAAGGUGAAGUAUAACUUCUUCCCUGA